CCUACGGGGGGCAGCAGUGGGGAAUAUUGGACAAUGGGGGGAACCCUGAUCCAGCCAUGCCGCGUGUGUGAAGAAGGCCCUCGGGUUGUAAAGCACUUUCAGUGAGGAAGAACGCCUGGUGGUUAAUACCCAUCAGGAAAGACAUCACUCACAGAAGAAGCACCGGCUAACUCCGUGCCAGCAGCCGCGGUAAUACGGAGGGUGCGAGCGUUAAUCGGAAUUACUGGGCGUAAAGCGCGCGUAGGUGGCUUGAUAAGCCGGUUGUGAAAGCCCCGGGCUCAACCUGGGAACGGCAUCCGGAACUGUCAAGCUAGAGUGCAGGAGAGGAAGGUAGAAUUCCCGGUGUAGCAGUGAAAUGCGUAGAGAUCGGGAGGAAUACCAGUGGCGAAGGCGGCCUUCUGGACUGACACUGACACUGAGGUGCGAAAGCGUGGGUAGCAAACAGGAUUAGAUACCCGUGUAGUC
rnacentral:rRNA from 1 species